GCCUCCGUAGCUCAGUGGAACGAGCGCGCCCUUGGUAUGGGCGAGGCCCGAGUUCGAUCCUCGGUGGAGGCUC
rnacentral:tRNA from 2 species